GACGAACGCUGGCGGCGUGCCUAAUACAUGCAAGUCGACCUUAGUGGCGCACGGGUUAGUAACACUUGGGUCACCUGCCCAUCAGACGGGGAUAACCCUUGGAUACUGGUGCUAAUACCGUAUGCUGCUGUAUGGACCCGAGGUGGUUUAUCUAGUUGGUGAGGUAACGGCUCACCAAGUCCACGAUGCUUAGCCGACAGGAGAGGGUGAUAGGCAAAAUUGGGACUGAGAAACGGCCCAAACGCCUACGGGAGGCAGAAGUAGGGAAUCUUCGGCAAUGGACGAAAGGCUGACCGAGCAACGCCGCGUGAGUGAAGAAGGUUUUCGGAUCGUAAAACUCUUUUGUUAGAGAAGCGGUAUCUAACCAGAAAGCCACGGCUAACUACGUGCCAGCAGCCGCGGUAAUAC
rnacentral:rRNA from 1 species